CCUACGGGUGGCUGCAGUGGGGAAUAUUGCACAAUGGGGGAAACCCUGAUGCAGCGACGCCGCGUGAGUGAAGAAGUAUCUCGGUACGUAAAGCUCUAUCAGCAGGGAAGAAAAUGACGGUACCUGACUAAGAAGCCCCGGCUAACUACGUGCCAGCAGCCGCGGUACUACGUAGGGGGCCAGCGUUAUCCGGAUUUACUGGGUGUAAAGGGAGCGUAGACGGCAGCACAAGUCUGGAGUGAAAUCCCGGGGCUUAACCCCGGAACUGCUUUGGAAACUGUGCGGCUUGAGUGCAGGAGGGGUAAGCGGAAUUCCUAGUGUAGCGGUGAAAUGCGUAGAGAUUAGGAGGAACACCGGUGGCGAAGGCGACUUACUGGACUGUAACUGACGUUGAGGCUCGAAAGCGUGGGGAGCAAACAGGAUUAGAUACCCCAGUAGUC
rnacentral:rRNA from 1 species